rnacentral:misc_RNA from 1 species
AAGUCGUAACAAGGUUUCCGUAGGUGAACCUGCGGAAGGAUCAUUAUGGAUUUUUUUUACUGGUCGGUCGGAAUGCAUAUCUACUCUUCCAAAUUUACUACAACAUUCAGCACAACUCACAACAAUGGAUCUCUGGGCUCUU